GUCUGUAUGAAGUUAAAUAGAGUCUAUUCUGCCCAUUGAGAAAAAUUCUUAAAAGGCCGCGGUAAACUAACUGUGCAAAGGUAGCAUAAUCAGUAGCUUCUUAAUUAGAGGCUUGUAUGAAUGAGUGGAUAAGAAUUAAACUGUCUUUACUUAGAAUAUAAAAUUUUAUUUUUAAGUGAAAAAGCUUAAAUAAACUAGAGGGACGACAAGACCCUAUAAAUCUUUAUGUGAUUUUUUCUCAUUUAAUAAUAUAUUAAGGUUAAAUUGUUUAUGACAAAGAAUUCAUUGUGCUGGGGCGGCAAAAAUAUAAUAAAACUAUUUAAAAAUAAUAACAAAUAUGUUUGUAAAGUAAAAGAUCUUAAAUAUAGAUUAAAAGAAUAAGUUACUUUAGGGAUAACAGCAUAAUUUCUUUUGAGAGUCCAAAUCGAAAAAGAAGUUUGUGACCUCGAUGUUGAAUUAAAAAUUCCUUAUGGUGCAGAAGUUAUAAAGGAAAGUCUGUUCGACUUUUAAAUUUUUACAUGAUUUGAGUUCAGACCGGCGUGAG
rnacentral:rRNA from 1 species